GUGCAUUCUGACGAAGACAACAAAAGGUAAUCAAACUUUUAUAAUAGUAAAUCUGAUUUUGGUGAAGGCUAAACUUGCCAGGUGUCUAAAUAGCUAGCCCGUGAUGGCUGGGCUAUGUACUUAGAAUAUUGCAAAAUGUGCUUUCACCAAAAAGCUAUUUUAAAAUCGGACAUAUCGAGUGCAUAGAGGAGUUCUGUAUCUAUAAUUUUUAAAAUAAUUGUUAUGCUUUUUGUGAACGUUUAUCGUGAGUAAUUUAGUAAAUUGUUAGUAAAUUCCCCGGAAGUUUGCGGGGGGUAUGCUAGUUCUGAACGUCACAUGCUAAUGUAAAAAGCUGUUUUUUGAUAUAAAUAUGAACUUGAUUGAACAAAACAUGCAUGUAUUGUAUAACAUAAUGUCCUAGGAUUGUCAUCUGAUGAAGAUCAUCAAAGGUUAGUGCUGCAUUUAGCUGUCUUCUGGGUUUUUGUGACAUUAUAUGCUAGCUUGAAAAAUGGGUGUCUGAUUAUUUCUGGCUGGGUACUCUGCUGACAUAAUCUAAUGUUUUGCUUUCAUUCUAAAGCCUUUUUGAAAUCGGACAGUGUGGUUAGAUUAACGAGAGUCUUGUCUUUAAAUAGCUGUAAAAUAGUCAUAUGUUUGAGAAAUUGAAGUAAUAGGAUUUUUAAGGUAUUUGAAAAUCGCGCCACAGGAUUCAACUGGCUGUUACGUAGGUGGGACGAAUUCGUCCCACCUGCCCUAGAGAGGUUAACAAAGUUUAGCAGUAGCUUUUUGGAUUCCUUUCUCUACAUGUUGAACAAGUGGAUUACUCAAAUCGAUGGCGCCAACUAAACAGACUUUUUUGGGAUAUAAAUAAGGAUUUUAUCCAACAAAAUGACCAUGCAUGUUGUAGCUAGGACCCUUGGGAUUGCAAAUCAGAGGAUGAUUUUCAAAAAGUAAGUGAAUAUUUGAUCGCUAUUUGUGAUUUUACGACGCCUGUGCUGGUUGAAAAAUAUCUUGAUGUGGGACGCCGUCCUCAAACAAUCGCAUGGCAUGCUUCGCUGUAAAGCCUAUUGUAAAUCGGACAAUGCAGUUAGAUUAACAAGAAUUUAAGCUUUUAACCCAUAUAAGUUGUCGGCAGGUGUCCCGUUGACGGGACGCCUAGCCCUUGAACAGUUAAUCAAAUUGCUAACAGGACUAUUCGCAUUGUCCCCACCCCCCAUUUUUACGCUGCUUCUACUCUCUGUUUAUUAUCCAUGCAUAGUCACUUCACCUCUACCUACAUGUACAUAUUACCUCGACUUACCGGUAUGUAUAUAGCCUCGCUACUGUUAUUCUGUUUUUGCUCCUUAAUUAUAUUUAUAUUUUUUAUUCUUCUUAAAACUACAUUGUUGGUUAAGGGCUGGUAAGUAAGCAUUUCACUGUAAGGUUGUAUUCGGCGCAGGUGACAAAUACAAUUUGAUUUGAUUUGAACUAGCUGUUGUGUGUCUCUGUGAAAAAGACUUAGCUAACCAUUUAUACACAGCCUAUUUAUUUAUAGGCUACUAGCUAGUCAUGUGAUGUGUUUGCUUGAUAGCUACUUGAAUUGAGAGUGCGUGCUCUGUGUAGGGGCCACGGAGGUGCAGCACUGCAGUGUUUGAAGACUUUCUAUGUCCGAGGGGAUCGGAGAGCUGGGAUAGUUCAAGGUGACAAUGGAGAAGGCCAGUCACGUGGAGCAUACUGCUGCACGCACAAAGCCAUGGAGCUACUGACAACACUCCCUGUGGUACAGCCAUCACUGCCUACCAGUCUAUGAAUCUGGAGACACUGGAGGUGUUUGGGGUGGAGAGGACGGUGGACUCAGUGGAGGACAUCCCAGCCACGUGGCAGCUGCCCCCAGGGCAUGAGCCAGGUCCCCCGCUCUGGCCGACGUUGAAGUCGGCUCAAAACAAAAGUGACAAGGACGCUCCUCCCUCAGCGCUUUUGCCCGUUCACGUCACGGCGGUUCAGAUUAAUAGACCUCCCUCAGUUUUGGCACUGCUACAUCCUACCUGAUGGUCCGGCGUCAGGCAUCAGGCUCCUGUCAGGCUAUGCUGAUGAGCCGGAAUUUACGAUUUUGUGUCACUGGACUACACGCACUACCCCAUAAUGUCAAAAUGGAAUUAUAUUUUUAGAAAUGUGUACAAGUUAAUAAAAAAUGUAAAGCUGAAAUGUAUUGACUCAAUAAGUAUGUCCAGGUGUGCGUAAUAAUGGGC
rnacentral:lncRNA from 1 species